rnacentral:rRNA from 1 species
AACGAACGCUGGCGGCAGGCCUAACACAUGCAAGUCGAACGCCCUAGCAAUAGGGAGUGGCAGACGGGUGAGUAACACGUGGGAACGUGCCCUUCGGUUCGGAAUAACUCAGGGAAACUUGAGCUAAUACCGGAUAAGUGCGAGAGCAGAAAGAUUUAUCGCCGAAGGAUCGGCCCGCGUCCGAUUAGCUAGUUGGUGAGGUAAUGGCUCACCAAGGCGACGAUCGGUAGCUGGUCUGAGAGGAUGACCAGCCACACUGGGACUGAGACACGGCCCCGACGCCUACGGGAGGCAGCAGCGGGGAAUAUUGGACGAUGGGCGCAAGCCUGAUCCAGCCAUGCCGCGUGAGUGAUGAAGGCCCUAGGGUUGUAAAGCUCUUUCGCCAGGGACGAUAAUGACGGUACCUGGAUAAGAAGCCCCGGCUAACUUCGUGCCAGCCGCCGCCGUAAAAC